rnacentral:rRNA from 1 species
UACAGAGGGUGCGAGCGUUGUUCGGAAUUAUUGGGCGUAAAGCGCAUGUAGGCGGCUUGUUAAGUCACGUGUGAAAGCCCCCGGCUCAACUGGGGAGGGUCAUUCGAUACUGUUCGACUCGAAGGCAGGAGAGGGAAGUGGAAUUCCGGGUGUAGUGGUGAAAUGCGUAGAUAUCCGGAGGAACACCAGUGGCGAAGGCGACUUUCUGGACGGUAACUGACGCUGAGACGCGAAAGCGUGGGGAGCAAACAGG